rnacentral:rRNA from 1 species
AUUGAACGCUGGCGGCAGGCCUAACACAUGCAAGUCGAGCGAGCGGCGGACGGGUGAGAAAUGUCUGGGAAACUGCCUGAUGGAGGGGGAUAACUACUGGAAAAGGUAGCUAAUACCGCAUACCAUCAAAUGUGCCCAGAUGGGAUUAGCUAGUAGGUGGGGUAAAGGCUCACCUAGGCGACGAUCCCUAGCUGGUCUGAGAGGAUGACCAGCCAAACUGGAACUGAGACACGGUCCAGACUCCUACGGGAGGCAGCAGUGGGGAAUAUUGCGCAAUGGGCGCAAGCCUGAUGCAGCCAUGCCGCGUGUGUGAAGAAGGCCUUCGGGUUGUAAAGCACUUUCAGCAGGGAGGCGUUACCUGCAGAAGAAGCACCGGCUAACUCCGUGCCAGCAGCCGCGGUAAUAC